GGGUCAGUAGGUUGGUCGUGCCACCGGUACGUACUGGUCUCACUGAUUCCUCCUUCCUGAAGAACCGUAAUGCCAUUAAUUUGGUGUUGCGGGGAGACAGGACUGUUACUUUGAAAAAAUUAGAGUGUUUAAAGCAAGCCAACGCUUGAAUACAUUAGCAUGGAAUAAUGAAAUAGGACGAUCGAUCCUAUUUUGUUGGUUUCUAGGAUUGACGUA
rnacentral:rRNA from 1 species